rnacentral:rRNA from 1 species
GACGAACGCUGGCGGCGUGCUUAACACAUGCAAGUCGAACGGAAAGGCCCUGCUUUUGUGGGGUGCUCGAGUGGCGAACGGGUGAGUAACACGUGAGUAACCUGCCCUUGACUUUGGGAUAACUUCAGGAAACUGGGGCUAAUACCGGAUAGGAGCUCCUGCUCCAUGGUGGGGGUUGGAAAGUUUCGGCGGUUGGGGAUGGACUCGCGGCUUAUCAGCUUGUUGGGGGGGUAGUGGCUUACCAGGGCUUUGACGGGUAGCCGGCCUGAGAGGGUGACCGGCCACAUUGGGACUGCGAUACGGCCCAGACUCCUACGGGAGGCAGCAGGGGGGAAUAUUGCACAAUGGGCGGAAGCCUGAUGCAGCAACGCCGCGUGCGGGAUGACGGCCUUCGGGUUGUAAACCGCUUUCGCCUGUGACGAAGCGUGAGUGACGGUAAUGGGUAAAGAAGCACCGGCUAACUACGUG